CUGUAUCCACUGAUAGACCUUGAACAAUGUGGUCUUGCUCUUUUGUUUUACACUAGGAUAUAGAGAAAAAUUCCAGUGCUCUCUUUGUGGCAGAUCAGAUUAAACUGGAGAAUGCAUUU